AUACAGAGGGUGCGAGCGUUAAUCGGAAUUACUGGGCGUAAAGCGCGCGUAGGCGGCUUAUUAAGUCAGAUGUGAAAUCCCAGGGCUCAACCUUGGAACUGCAUCUGAUACUGGUAAGCUAGAGUUUAGGAGAGGGAAGUAGAAUUUCAGGUGUAGCGGUGAAAUGCAUAGAGAUCUGAAGGAAUACCAGUGGCGAAGGCGACUUCCUGGCCUAAAACUGACGCUGAGGUGCGAAAGCGUGGGUAGCAAACGGGAUUAGAUACCCCAGUAGUCC
rnacentral:rRNA from 1 species